UAGGGAAUCUUCCACAAUGGACGCAAGUCUGAUGGAGCAACGCCGCGUGAGUGAAGAAGGGUUUCGGCUCGUAAAGCUCUGUUGGUAGUGAAGAAAGAUAGAGGUAGUAACUGGCCUUUAUUUGACGGUAAUUACUUAGAAAGUCACGGCUAACUACGNGCCAGCAGCCGCGGUAAUACGUAGGUGGCAAGCGUUGUCCGGAUUUAUUGGGCGUAAAGCGAGUGCAGGCGGUUCAAUAAGUCUGAUGUGAAAGCCUUCGGCUCAACCGGAGAAUUGCAUCAGAAACUGUUGAACUUGAGUGCAGAAGAGGAGAGUGGAACUCCAUGUGUAGCGGUGGAAUGCGUAGAUAUAUGGAAGAACACCAGUGGCGAAGGCGGCUCUCUGGUCUGCAACUGACGCUGAGGCUCGAAAGCAUGGGUAGCGAACAGGAUUAGAUACCCUGGUAGUCCAUGCCGUAAACGAUGAGUGCUAAGUGUUGGGAGGUUUCCGCCUCUCAGUGCUGCAGCUAACGCAUUAAGCACUCCGCCUGGGGAGUACGACCGCAAGGUUG
rnacentral:rRNA from 1 species